GUGGACCUGCUAAAGAUUUUGAGUUUUAUGAUGGGAGCAAGGAAAGCUACUGUCUUAGUUCAUUUUGUGUUGCUGUCACAGAAUACCCGAGACAGGGUAAUUUAUAAAGAAAAGAGAUUUAUUUGGCUCAUGGUUCUGCAGGAUGGGAAGUUCAAGAUUAGGCAUCUGGUGAGGGCCUCAGGCUCUUUCAAUUCAUGGUGGACAGCAGAAGGGGAGCCAGCAAAGAAAUCACAUGGUGAGAGAGGAAGCAAGAGAGUGAAACCGAGGAAAAUAGAUUCGUUUUAACAACCUGCUGUCUUGGGAACUAAUCGGCCUUGCCAGAGUGAGAAUUUACUCACUACCAUGAGAAUGGCACCAAACCAUUUAUGAAAGAUGCACCUCCAUAGCCCCAAACACCUCCCACUAAGCCCCACCUCUCAACACUGUCACACUGGGGCUCAAAUUUCAACAUGAUAGUUGAUGGAGACAAACUCAAACUCAAGGGUGUUUGAAUAUCCAAACCAUGGCAGCUACUAAAGAUUUUGAGUAGGAGUAUAACAUUAUCAGAUUUGUGAUUCCUAAAGAACACUCUGGCUACAAUGUGGAGAACAGAUUACAAGGGAACAAGGUGAAUUUGGAAGAGCAGCCAUGGUCCAGAUUUCUCAAGCAUGUACCCUGUGACAGUCACUUCACUAAAAAUCAGAAACUCAAACAUGGAACUGGAUGCUAGUUCUGUCCUCAAGAAGCUCAGAGUCUUUCAGAAAAAGAGGAGCCGUGAGACAAAUUACCAAGUGCAAGCUCAGAAGCCUUGCGUUUGUGGUGAGAGAUGAAGAGGGAGUUUGUAAAGAUGUGAAAGCAGGGUCUUUCUCCUUGAAGUUCUGGGGAGGAAUUGUAAAUCUGUUUGUCUAUUGCCAAAGAAUACUUGCCUUGGAAACUAGAGAGAGCCUCAGAUUCAGUCUCAGUGAUAAAGUGCUUCUAAACUGGGUCAGGGACAAAAACAAAGGACAGACGAUACCAUAAAUAAUGAACUUAUGGGGCAGAAAGUGUCAGCUCAAGUAUUUAGAGGCUCUCUACAAGGAAAAGGAAACUAGGAAUGUAAUGAUUUCAUGAGAGGUUUUGGAAGCCUUCAAAAUCAAUAAAUCAAUUAAUUAUUUAGUUCAGUACUUUUCUCUCUUACUAGCAUAUUAUGAUUUCCCCAACUUCAUCUCUCCCUGGUCAUAUCUGUCCUCUACAAUAUUCCAAGGUUGAUCUUUCUGGGAUAAUAUUUUGAUCUUGUUACUCUCCUUUUAAGAAUAAAGGUAAAAUUUAAAUGGUCAUUUGAGGUCAUUUUAACUGUAUUCUGUGUUUUAAGAAGCCCUCCAACUGAUUCUGAUGCAUAGUAAGUUUUGGGAAUUAAUCACUAUAUGGCUUAUCUCUUCCACAAAAGAAGUAUAUUCUCCCAGGACAAGAGUCUUCCCUAAUGCACCCCUGUAGCCCCUCAGCUCAGUGGCUAAGCACAUGGCAGGUGUUCAAGAAAUUAUGGAAAGGUAAGAUGCAUCUUCUGAGCAGAGGCUGCUUGUCAAGUGGAAGGCUGGGUGCUGUGAGGAAUAGAGGAGAAUUAGAUGAAUUACUGUGCAUUAGUUUAGAUUCUACUGGAGGCGACAAAACCAAGACAUACAGCAAGUGAGAAUAACUAAGUGCUGAUCCAUAGCGUGCAGUAACAACGCAACACAAGCACAGAAGAGGAAAAGAGGUGCUGGGGGGUUUAAUUGUAGGUCCUUAUAUGACUGAACCCUUC
rnacentral:lncRNA from 10 species